UAAUUGGUGGAAUUUAAUAUUUGCUUUAAAAAGAGUAAAUAAUUAAGGGGACGAUAAGACCCUGUAAAAMUUAGAUUUAUAUUGUUUUAUAGAAUUUAGUGUUAUAUAAAGCUUAAAAAUUAAGCUGGGGCGGCAGUUAAAAUACAUUAAUAAAGAUAACUUGAUUAAUGAUUUUAAAGAUCUCUAAAGAGUUAGAAUAAGUUACUUCAGGGGUAACAGCACAAUUUUUCCAGAUAGCUCGCAUAGAAGGAAAAGACUUGUGACCUCGAUGUUGAAUUGAGGGGUCUUAUUUAAGUAGAAAUAAAUAAAGAGGGUCUGUUCGACCUUUA
rnacentral:rRNA from 1 species